rnacentral:misc_RNA from 1 species
GCGGAGGAAAAGAAACCAACAGGGAUUGCCUCAGUAACGGCGAGUGAAGCGGCAACAGCUCAAAUUUGAAAUCUGGCCCCCUCGGGGUCCGAGUUGUAAUUUGUAGAAGAUGCUUCGGGUGUGGCCCCGGUCUAAGUUCCUUGGAACAGGACGUCACAGAGGGUGAGAAUCCCGUAUGUGACCGGUGGCCUCCCCCGUGUGAAGCUCUUUCGACGAGUCGAGUUGUUUGGGAAUGCAGCUCAAAAUGGGUGGUAAAUUUCAUCUAAAGCUAAAUAUUGGCCAGAGACCGAUAGCGCACAAGUAGAGUGAUCGAAAGAUGAAAAGCACUUUGGAAAGAGGGUUAAACAGUACGUGAAAUUGUUGAAAGGGAAGCGCUUGCAACCAGACUUGCGCGCGGUCGAUCAUCCGGGGUUCUCCCCGGUGCACUCGGCCGUGCGCAGGCCAGCAUCGGUUUGGGCGGCCGGACAAAGGCCUCGGGAAUGUGGCUCCUUCGGGAGUGUUAUAGCCCGAGGUGCAAUGCGGCCAGCCCGGACCGAGGACCGCGCUUCGGCUAGGAUGCUGGCGUAAUGGUUGUAAGCGGCCCGUCUUGAAACACGGACCAAGGAGUCUAACAUCUAUGCGAGUGUUUGGGUGGCAAACCCAUCCGCGUAAUGAAAGUGAACGGAGGUGAGAACCCUUAAGGGCGCAUCAUCGACCGAUCCUGAUGUCUUCGGAUGGAUUUGAGUAAGAGCAUAGCUGUUGGGACCCGAAAGAUGGUGAACUAUGCCUGAAUAGGGUGAAGCCAGAGGAAACUCUGGUGGAGGCUCGCAGCGGUUCUGACGUGCAAAUCGAUCGUCAAAUUUGGGCAUAGGGGCGAAAG